GACGAACGCUGGCGGCGUGCCUAACACAUGCAAGUCGAGCGAAAGGACCAGAAGUUUGUUCCUCUGUUGUUAGAGGCGGAGGGGAGAGUCACAUGUGGAUAACCUACCUAUCAGACUGGGAUAAUUACGGGAAACCGUAGCUUAUACCGGAUAAUAUUUUGCACCGCAUGGUUCAAAAGUGAAAUUCGGUCUUGCUGUAACUAAUAGCUGGUUACGAGCUGGAUGAGCUAGUAGUUAAGGUAAAGGCAUAUCAAGGCAAGUAUGCAUAUCCGACCGCAGCGGGUGGUCGGCCACCUUGGAUGUGAGACAGAGUCCAGACUCCUACGGUAGGCAGCAGUAGGGAAUCGUCCGCAAUGGGGGAGAGCCUGACAGAGCAACGCCGCGUGAGUGAUGAAGGAGCUCUGAUCGGAAAGCUCUGUUAUGAGGGGAGAACAUAUGUGUAAGUAACUGUGCAGAUAUUGACGGUACCGGGUCAAAAAGCCACGGCUAACUACGUG
rnacentral:rRNA from 1 species